rnacentral:rRNA from 1 species
CGAAGGGGCGUAGCGUUGCUCGGAAUCACUGGGCGUAAAGGGACGGCGUAGGCGGACAUUUAAGUUCGGGGGUGGAAAGACCCACGGGCGUCAACCCUCGGAAUUGCCUCCCGAUACUGGGUGGUCUCGAGACCGGAAGAGGUGAGUGGAACUGCGAGUGUAGAGGUGAAAUUACGUAGAUAUUCGCAAGAACACCAGUGGCGAAGGCGGCUCACUGGUCCGGUUCUGACGCUGAGGCGCGAAAGCGUGGGGAGCAAACAGGAUU